AUUGAACGCUGGCGGCAGGCUUAACACAUGCAAGUCGAGCGGAGCGAGGGUGCUUGCACCUUAGCUUAGCGGCGGACGGGUGAGUAAUGCUUAGGAAUCUGCCUAUUAGUGGGGGACAACAUUUCGAAAGGGAUGCUAAUACCGCAUACGCCCUACGGGGGAAAGCAGGGGAUCUUCGGACCUUGCGCUAAUAGAUGAGCCUAGGUCGGAUUAGCUAGUUGGUGGGGUAAAGGCCUACCAAGGCGACGAUCUGUAGCGGGUCUGAGAGGAUGAUCCGCCACACUGGGACUGAGACACGGCCCAGACUCCUACGGGAGGCAGCAGUGGGGAAUAUUGGACAAUGGGAGGAAGCCUGAUCCAGCCAUGCCGCGUGUGUGAAGAAGGCCUUUUGGUUGUAAAGCACUUUAAGCGAGGAGGAGGCUACUAGUAUUAAUACUACUGGAUAGUGGACGUUACUCGCAGAAUAAGCACCGGCUAACUCUGUGCCAGCCGCCGCCGUAA
rnacentral:rRNA from 1 species